CUAGUACUCCCUCCGUCCCAAAAAGCUUGUCCCAAGUUUGUUCCUCAAAUGGAUGUAUCUAGCACUAACUUGGUGUUAGAUACAUCCAUUUGAGAGACAAACUUUUUCGGACGGAGGGAGUAGGAU
rnacentral:pre_miRNA from 1 species